rnacentral:rRNA from 1 species
UACGUAGGGGGCGAGCGUUGUCCGGAUUUAUUGGGCGUAAAGCGUCCGCAGGCGGUGGAGCAAGUUCGAGGUGACAGUACGCGGCUUAACCGCGCAAGGUUCUUGAAAACUGCUCGACUUGAGGGCUUCAGAGGGACCCGGAAUUCCGGGUGGAGUGGUGAAAUGCGUAGAGAUCCGGAGGAACACCAAAGGCGCAGGCAGGGUCCUGGGAAGCAUCUGACGCUCAUGGACGAAAGCUAGGGGAGCGAACGGG